rnacentral:rRNA from 1 species
UACGAGGGGGGCAAGCGUUGUUCGGAAUUAUUGGGCGUAAAGGGCGCGUAGGCGGUGCGGUAAGUCACCUGUGAAAACUCUGGGCUCAACUCAGAGCCUGCAGGCGAAAACUGCCAUGCUUGAGUGUGGGAGAGGUGCGUGGAAUUCCCGGUGUAGCGGUGAAAAUGCGUAGAUAUCGGGAGGAACACCUGUGGCGAAAGCGGCGCACUGGACCACAACUGA